rnacentral:tRNA from 1 species
GGAGAUGUACCCAAGUGGCUGAAGGGUCCGCACUCGAAAUGCGGUAGGCGCCUCACAAGCGCGCGGGGGUUCAAAUCCCUCCAUCUCCGCCA